rnacentral:rRNA from 1 species
GACGAACGCUGGCGGCGUGCUUAACACAUGCAAGUCGAACGGAAAGGCCCUGCUUGCAGGGUGCUCGAGUGGCGAACGGGUGAGUAACACGUGGGUGAUCUGCCCCUUACUUUGGGAUAAGCCUUGGAAACUGGGUCUAAUACUGGAUAGGACCAUGCUGUAGGUGGUGUGGUGGAAAGAUUAUUUUCGGUAAGGGAUGAGCUCGCGGCCUAUCAGCUUGUUGGUGGGGUAAUGGCCUACCAAGGCGUCGACGGGUAGCCGGCCGGAGAGGGUGGACGGCCACAUUGGGACUGAGAAACGGCCCAGAAUCCUACGAGGGGCAGCAGUGGGGAGGAUUGCACAAUGGGCGCAGGCCUGAUGAAGCGACGCCGCGUGGGGGAUGACGGCCUUCGGGUGGUAAACUCCUUUCAGCCAUGACGAAGCCCUUGUGGUGACGGUAGUGGUAGAAGAAGCACCGGCUAACUACGUG